GGAGAGGUAGCUCAAUAGGUAAGAGUGCUUGCUGUGCAAGCAUAAGGACCUGAGUUCAAAUCCCAGCCCCUGUG
rnacentral:tRNA from 1 species